GAGAUUUUAGGUCUAGUAGAUGAGCAUGAUGAUUAUUAUAUUGGUGGAUAAACUUAUAUUUAACUUUGUUUGAAACUUAUAUUGGUGGAUUAUGAGAUUUUUGAUGGAUUUGAUGGCGAUUUUGAGGAGAUAUUCUAAAGAUGUUUGGUGGAUUAAUUAAUCUUGGACAUUUUGAAUUUACUUAGGUGGUCGUGAUACUAAACCGAAUUUCACGCUGGAUUAUGAGAUUUUUCAUGGAUUUAGUUAGAUGAUUGUGUCUUGAGAAUAUAAUCAAAGAUGUUUGCUUGACUAUGAGAUUUUAGGUAUAGAAGAUGAGAAUGGUGAUUUUAUAUUGGUGGAUAACCAGAUCUUUAAUUUAGUUUGGAACAAUUUUGAUUUAGUAAGGUUAUUCUUUUUUUUUCAACCAAAUUCAUGAUGGGAUUUUGAGGUUUUGUUGGAUUUAGGUAGAUGACUGUGAUCUUAAAGAGAUAGUCACAGAUGAUUUGAUGGAAUAUGCUAAAUUAGGUCUAGUAAGGGACCACGGUGGUUAAUAUAUUGGUGGAUAAAUGGAUCUUUAGUAAACAUCGAGCAAUCUGUAUGUAGUUAGGCAAUUGUUAUCUUGAACAAAUUUCGUUGUGGAUUACGAGAUUUUCAAUGGAUUUAGUUAGUAGAUUGUGAUCUUGGGGAGAUGUCAAAGAUGUUCAGUGGAUUAACUACUUUUGAACAAUUUGGAUUUACUUAGGUGAUCGAGACAUUGAGCCAAAUUUCUCAAUGAUUUAUGAGAAUUUAGUUGGAUUUAGCUAGGUGGUUGUGUCUUCAGAAGAUAGUCGAGGAAGUUUGCUAGAUUAUGAGAUUUUUGGUUUACAAGAUAAGCAUGAGGAUAGUUAUAUUGGUGGAUAAACAAAUAUUUAAUUUAUUUAGGAAAAAAUGGAUUUAGUUAGGUGAUUGUCAUAUUUUGACCUAAUUUUAUGAUGGAUUAUGAGGUUUUGCUUGGAUUUAGUUGGGUGAUUGGGAUCUUGACAGAGCUUGUAGAAGAUAUUGACACCCUCCUUUGACAUUCUUAAUAGCCCUCCAUCCUAACCAUGUAGUGGUCGCAAAUAAAUGUGGUUCAUAUGUCCAAGUUUAAUAGCAUUGUUUAGCCAUGCUAGUCGUGUAAAUCAUAGGACUUGGGAAGAAUCUUUGUUACUCAUAGAUGUUUUAUAAAAACUCAAGGGUGUCACUAAUGCCCAUGGGAUGAUUUUGAAAAUAAGGUUUUACAAAAUGGAGAUGAAGUGGAGAUUUAGUUAGGUGAUUGUGAUCUUGACGAGAUAGUCAAAGAUGUUCGGUGGAUUAUGAAAAUUUAUGUCUAGUAAUGAGCAUGGUGGUUACUAUAUUGGUGGAUAAAUGGAUCUUUAAUAAACUUGAAGCAGUUUGGAUUUAGUUAAGCAAUUGUGAUCUUGGACCAAAUUUCAUGGCGGAUUACGAGAUUUUGAUGCAUUUAUUUAGUUCAUUGUGAUCUUGAGGAGAUGGUCAAAAAUAUUUAGUGGAUUAAUUCUUGGAAAUUUUUGAUUUAGUUAGGUGAUUGUGAUAUUGAACUGUAUUUCAUGAUGAAUUAUGAGAUUUUAGGUGGAUUUAGUUACAUGAUUUAAUCUUGAGAAGAUAGUCUAAAAUGUUAGGUGGAUUAUGAGAUUUUAGGUAUGAUAGAUGAGCAUGGUGAUUAUUAUAUUGGUGGAUAAAUAUAUCUUUAAUUUUGUAUGAAACAUUUUGGAUUUAGUUAGGUGAUUAUAAGGUUUUGGUUGGAUUUAGUUAGGUGAUUGUGAUCUUGACGAGUUAGUAUAAGAUGUUUGGUGGAUUAUGUGAAUUUAAGUCUAGUAGGUGAGCUUGGUGGUUAUUAUAUUGGUGAAUUGGUGAAUAAGCAAUUUUUUAAUAAACUUAAGAAAAAAUGGAUUUAGUUAGGCGACUGUGAUCUUGAACCAAAUUUCAUGAUGGAUUAUGAGAUUUUAGAUGAAUAUAGUCAGUUGAUUUUCAUCUUGAGAAGAUACUCAAAGAUAUUUGAUGGAUUAAUUAAUCUUGAACAAUUUGAAUUUAGUUAGGCUUUUGCGAUAUUGAGUCGAAUUUCAUGAUGAUUUAUGUGGAUUUAGAUAACUUAUUAUGAUCUUGAUAAGAUGGUCAAAGAUGUUCGGUGGUUUUUAAGAUUUUAGGCCUAGUACAUCAGCAUGGUGACUAUUAUAUUGGUGGAUAAACUGACCUUUCAUUUAGUUUGAAACAAUUUGAAUUUAGUUAGGUGAUUGUGAACUUCUAACCAAAUUCACAGUGCAUUUUGAUUUUUGGGUUGGAUUUAUUUAGGUGACUAUAAUCUUGGUGAGGUAGUCAAAGAUGUUCGGUGGAUUAUGUGGGCAUUUAUGUCUAGUAAGUAAGCAUGGUCGUUAUUAUAUUGAUGGACACAUUGAUUUUAAGUAAACUUGGCGUAAUUUGGAUUUAGUUAGGCGAUUGUGGUCUUUAACCAAAUUUCAUGGUGAAAUACUAGAUUUUAAAUGGAUCUAAUUAGUUGAUUGAGAUCUUGAGGGAAUAGUCAAAGAUGUUCGGUGGAUUAAUUAAUCUUGAACAAUUUGGAUUUAGUUCGGUGAUUGUGAUAUUCAACAAAAAUAUUCGGUGAUUUAUUUGAUUUAGGUGAAUUUAGUCAAAAAUGUUGGUGGAUUAUUAGAUUUUAGAUAUGGAAAUGAGCAUGGUGAUUACUAUAGUGGUAGAUAAUCACAUAUUUAAUUUAGUUCGGAUCAGUUCUGAUUACUUAGGUGUUGUGAUCUUUAACCUAAAUUUAGGAUGGAUUAUGAGGUUUUGGCUGGAUUUACUUAGGUGAUUGUGAUCUUGAUAAGAUAUUCAAAGAUGUUCGAUGGAUUAAUACCUCUAGUCAGCAAAUAUGAUGAUUAUUAUAUUUGUGGAUAAGUGGAUCUCUAAUAAACUUGAAGCAAUUUGAAUUUAGUUACGAUUGUGAUCUUGAACAAAAUUUCAUGGUGGAUUACGAGGUUAUGGAUUGAUUUGAUUAGUUGAUUGUGAUCUUGACGAUUCGAUGGAUUAAUUAAUCUUGAAUAAUUUGGAUUUAGUUUGGUGAUUGUGAUAUUGAACCAAAUUUUUCACUGAUUUAUGAGAUUUUAGGUGGAUUUAGUUAGGUGAUUUAAUCAUGAGAAGAUAGUAAAACAUGUUUGGUGGAUUAUGAGAUUUCUAGGUAUGGUAAAUGGGCAUGGUGAUUAUUAUAUUGAUGGAUAAACAGAUCUUUAAUUUAGUUUGAAAGAACUUAGAUCUAGUUAGGUGGUUGUGAUCUUGACGAACUAGUAAAAGAUGUUUGGUGACUUAUGUGGAUUUAGGUUUAGUAGGUGAGCAUGUUGGUUAUUAUAUUGAUAAAUAAAUGUUCUUCUAAUAAACUUGGAAAAAAUUGGAUUUAGUUAGGCGGUUGUGAUCUUGAACAAAAUUUUAUGGUGGUUUAUGAGAUUUUUUAUGGCUUUUGUUAUUUGAUUGUGAUCUUGAGAAAAUAGUCAACGAUGUUUGGUGGAUUAAUUAAUCUGGACCAAUUUGGAUUUAAUAAGGUGGUUGUGACACUGAACCAAAUUUCAUGAGGGAUCAUGAGAUUAGGUGGAUUUAGUUAGGUGAUUGUGUCUUGAGAAUAUAGUGAGUGAUGGUUGUUGGAUUAUGAGAUUUUAGGUUUAGUAGAUGAAAAUGGUGAUUAUUAUAUUGGUGCAUAAAUAGAUAUUUAAUUUAGCUUGAAACAAUUUGGAUUUACUUUGGUGACUGUGAUCUUUGACCAAAUUUCUCUUUGAUUUAUGAGAUUUUAGUUGCAUUUAGUUAGGUGAUUGUGUCCUAUGAAGAUAAUCGAAUAUGUUUGGUGGAUUAUGAGAUUUUAGGUAUAAUAAAUGAGCAUGAUGAUUAUUAUAUUGAUGGAUAAAAAGAUAUUUGAUUUGGUUUAGAACAAUUUGGAUUUAGUUCAGUGAUUGUGAUCUUUUAACCUAAUUUUACAAUGGAUUAUAAGGUUUUGGUUGGAUUUAGUUAGGUGAUUAUGAUUUUGACGAGCUAGUAAAAGAUGGCCGGUGGAUUAUAUGAAUCUAGGUUUAGUAGAUGAGCAUGUUGAUUAUUAUAUUGGUGGAUAGAGAUGAGAGCCACACAAGUGACUCAAGUCGAUGAUGCCACUAGUGAAAAUAGCUGAUAAACAAGGCAAGAGAGGUGGAGAGGCUGGGGAUAAUGGCAGUAGAUGGACUUUAUCCAGCAUCCCACGUUCCCGUGCAUUCUUUGUUCCCCGUUUAUCCAGCUUGAUGUCCUUGUCCUAUUUGCGGUUUCGUGCCACACACUUGAUUAAGCAUCCCACGUUCUCCUACUAAGUGCCCUUGGCCUUGACGGUAGGUAUCGCGUGUUCUUGGGCGCGUCCCGUGUAUAAAAUUCAGGUAUGCGCCAAUUGUCCUAGCUCUUGCUCGCCAUUGGUGGUGCUUGAGCGUGCGGUUACGGUGUCGACCAACUAGGGAACACGGGAUGUGGGAUCAAGACAGCACACAUGGCAACCCGCCACCAGGCAACGAAUACACAUCCGGAUUUACAAGGAGCGGAGGUGGACACAAAAGUGGAUGUUUAGCUCCAUAGGAGUCUCAACAGUGUGGUCAUCAGAGUAGCAUGAGUAAGAAGAUCCUAGAUAUACUUCUCUUAGGAAAUAAAGAUGCCAUUAGAGAUAGAAGAAACCUCAAUCUCCAAGAAAGUAGGAACUUGUUUAGUAAAAUGGAACAAUUUGGAUUUAGUUAGGCGAUUGUGAUCCUGAACAAAUUGCAUGGUGGAUUACGAGAUUUUUCAUUGGAUUUAGGUGAUUGUGAUCUUGAGGAAAUAGUCAAAAAUGUUUGGUGGAUUAGUUGAUCUUGAACAAUAUGGACUUAGUUAGGUGAUUGUAAUAUUGAACUAUUUUUUUGUGCGUUAUGAGAUUUUAGUUGGAUUUAGUUAGGUGAUUGUGCCUUGAGAUGAUAAUCAAAGGUGUUUGGUGGAUUCUGAGAUUUUAGGUCUAGUAGAUGAGCAUGAUGAUUAUUAUAUUGGUGGAUAAACUUAUAUUUAACUUUGUUUGAAACUUAUAUUGGUGGAUUAUGAGAUUUUUGAUGGAUUUGAUGGCGAUUUUGAGGAGAUAUUCUAAAGAUGUUUGGUGGAUUAAUUAAUCUUGGACAUUUUGAAUUUACUUAGGUGGUCGUGAUACUAAACCGAAUUUCACGCUGGAUUAUGAGAUUUUUCAUGGAUUUAGUUAGAUGAUUGUGUCUUGAGAAUAUAAUCAAAGAUGUUUGCUUGACUAUGAGAUUUUAGGUAUAGAAGAUGAGAAUGGUGAUUUUAUAUUGGUGGAUAACCAGAUCUUUAAUUUAGUUUGGAACAAUUUUGAUUUAGUAAGGUUAUUCUUUUUUUUUCAACCAAAUUCAUGAUGGGAUUUUGAGGUUUUGUUGGAUUUAGGUAGAUGACUGUGAUCUUAAAGAGAUAGUCACAGAUGAUUUGAUGGAAUAUGCUAAAUUAGGUCUAGUAAGGGACCACGGUGGUUAAUAUAUUGGUGGAUAAAUGGAUCUUUAGUAAACAUCGAGCAAUCUGUAUGUAGUUAGGCAAUUGUUAUCUUGAACAAAUUUCGUUGUGGAUUACGAGAUUUUCAAUGGAUUUAGUUAGUAGAUUGUGAUCUUGGGGAGAUGUCAAAGAUGUUCAGUGGAUUAACUACUUUUGAACAAUUUGGAUUUACUUAGGUGAUCGAGACAUUGAGCCAAAUUUCUCAAUGAUUUAUGAGAAUUUAGUUGGAUUUAGCUAGGUGGUUGUGUCUUCAGAAGAUAGUCGAGGAAGUUUGCUAGAUUAUGAGAUUUUUGGUUUACAAGAUAAGCAUGAGGAUAGUUAUAUUGGUGGAUAAACAAAUAUUUAAUUUAUUUAGGAAAAAAUGGAUUUAGUUAGGUGAUUGUCAUAUUUUGACCUAAUUUUAUGAUGGAUUAUGAGGUUUUGCUUGGAUUUAGUUGGGUGAUUGGGAUCUUGACAGAGCUUGUAGAAGAUAUUGACACCCUCCUUUGACAUUCUUAAUAGCCCUCCAUCCUAACCAUGUAGUGGUCGCAAAUAAAUGUGGUUCAUAUGUCCAAGUUUAAUAGCAUUGUUUAGCCAUGCUAGUCGUGUAAAUCAUAGGACUUGGGAAGAAUCUUUGUUACUCAUAGAUGUUUUAUAAAAACUCAAGGGUGUCACUAAUGCCCAUGGGAUGAUUUUGAAAAUAAGGUUUUACAAAAUGGAGAUGAAGUGGAGAUUUAGUUAGGUGAUUGUGAUCUUGACGAGAUAGUCAAAGAUGUUCGGUGGAUUAUGAAAAUUUAUGUCUAGUAAUGAGCAUGGUGGUUACUAUAUUGGUGGAUAAAUGGAUCUUUAAUAAACUUGAAGCAGUUUGGAUUUAGUUAAGCAAUUGUGAUCUUGGACCAAAUUUCAUGGCGGAUUACGAGAUUUUGAUGCAUUUAUUUAGUUCAUUGUGAUCUUGAGGAGAUGGUCAAAAAUAUUUAGUGGAUUAAUUCUUGGAAAUUUUUGAUUUAGUUAGGUGAUUGUGAUAUUGAACUGUAUUUCAUGAUGAAUUAUGAGAUUUUAGGUGGAUUUAGUUACAUGAUUUAAUCUUGAGAAGAUAGUCUAAAAUGUUAGGUGGAUUAUGAGACUUUAGGUAUGAUAGAUGAGCAUGGUGAUUAUUAUAUUGGUGGAUAAAUAUAUCUUUAAUUUUGUAUGAAACAUUUUGGAUUUAGUUAGGUGAUUAUAAGGUUUUGGUUGGAUUUAGUUAGGUGAUUGUGAUCUUGACGAGUUAGUAUAAGAUGUUUGGUGGAUUAUGUGAAUUUAAGUCUAGUAGGUGAGCUUGGUGGUUAUUAUAUUGGUGAAUUGGUGAAUAAGCAAUUUUUUAAUAAACUUAAGAAAAAAUGGAUUUAGUUAGGCGACUGUGAUCUUGAACCAAAUUUCAUGAUGGAUUAUGAGAUUUUAGAUGAAUAUAGUCAGUUGAUUUUCAUCUUGAGAAGAUACUCAAAGAUAUUUGAUGGAUUAAUUAAUCUUGAACAAUUUGAAUUUAGUUAGGCUUUUGCGAUAUUGAGUCGAAUUUCAUGAUGAUUUAUGUGGAUUUAGAUAACUUAUUAUGAUCUUGAUAAGAUGGUCAAAGAUGUUCGGUGGUUUUUAAGAUUUUAGGCCUAGUACAUCAGCAUGGUGACUAUUAUAUUGGUGGAUAAACUGACCUUUCAUUUAGUUUGAAACAAUUUGAAUUUAGUUAGGUGAUUGUGAACUUCUAACCAAAUUCACAGUGCAUUUUGAUUUUUGGGUUGGAUUUAUUUAGGUGACUAUAAUCUUGGUGAGGUAGUCAAAGAUGUUCGGUGGAUUAUGUGGGCAUUUAUGUCUAGUAAGUAAGCAUGGUCGUUAUUAUAUUGAUGGACACAUUGAUUUUAAGUAAACUUGGCGUAAUUUGGAUUUAGUUAGGCGAUUGUGGUCUUUAACCAAAUUUCAUGGUGAAAUACUAGAUUUUAAAUGGAUCUAAUUAGUUGAUUGAGAUCUUGAGGGAAUAGUCAAAGAUGUUCGGUGGAUUAAUUAAUCUUGAACAAUUUGGAUUUAGUUCGGUGAUUGUGAUAUUCAACAAAAAUAUUCGGUGAUUUAUUUGAUUUAGGUGAAUUUAGUCAAAAAUGUUGGUGGAUUAUUAGAUUUUAGAUAUGGAAAUGAGCAUGGUGAUUACUAUAGUGGUAGAUAAUCACAUAUUUAAUUUAGUUCGGAUCAGUUCUGAUUACUUAGGUGUUGUGAUCUUUAACCUAAAUUUAGGAUGGAUUAUGAGGUUUUGGCUGGAUUUACUUAGGUGAUUGUGAUCUUGAUAAGAUAUUCAAAGAUGUUCGAUGGAUUAAUACCUCUAGUCAGCAAAUAUGAUGAUUAUUAUAUUUGUGGAUAAGUGGAUCUCUAAUAAACUUGAAGCAAUUUGAAUUUAGUUACGAUUGUGAUCUUGAACAAAAUUUCAUGGUGGAUUACGAGGUUAUGGAUUGAUUUGAUUAGUUGAUUGUGAUCUUGACGAUUCGAUGGAUUAAUUAAUCUUGAAUAAUUUGGAUUUAGUUUGGUGAUUGUGAUAUUGAACCAAAUUUUUCACUGAUUUAUGAGAUUUUAGGUGGAUUUAGUUAGGUGAUUUAAUCAUGAGAAGAUAGUAAAACAUGUUUGGUGGAUUAUGAGAUUUCUAGGUAUGGUAAAUGGGCAUGGUGAUUAUUAUAUUGAUGGAUAAACAGAUCUUUAAUUUAGUUUGAAAGAACUUAGAUCUAGUUAGGUGGUUGUGAUCUUGACGAACUAGUAAAAGAUGUUUGGUGACUUAUGUGGAUUUAGGUUUAGUAGGUGAGCAUGUUGGUUAUUAUAUUGAUAAAUAAAUGUUCUUCUAAUAAACUUGGAAAAAAUUGGAUUUAGUUAGGCGGUUGUGAUCUUGAACAAAAUUUUAUGGUGGUUUAUGAGAUUUUUUAUGGCUUUUGUUAUUUGAUUGUGAUCUUGAGAAAAUAGUCAACGAUGUUUGGUGGAUUAAUUAAUCUGGACCAAUUUGGAUUUAAUAAGGUGGUUGUGACACUGAACCAAAUUUCAUGAGGGAUCAUGAGAUUAGGUGGAUUUAGUUAGGUGAUUGUGUCUUGAGAAUAUAGUGAGUGAUGGUUGUUGGAUUAUGAGAUUUUAGGUUUAGUAGAUGAAAAUGGUGAUUAUUAUAUUGGUGCAUAAAUAGAUAUUUAAUUUAGCUUGAAACAAUUUGGAUUUACUUUGGUGACUGUGAUCUUUGACCAAAUUUCUCUUUGAUUUAUGAGAUUUUAGUUGCAUUUAGUUAGGUGAUUGUGUCCUAUGAAGAUAAUCGAAUAUGUUUGGUGGAUUAUGAGAUUUUAGGUAUAAUAAAUGAGCAUGAUGAUUAUUAUAUUGAUGGAUAAAAAGAUAUUUGAUUUGGUUUAGAACAAUUUGGAUUUAGUUCAGUGAUUGUGAUCUUUUAACCUAAUUUUACAAUGGAUUAUAAGGUUUUGGUUGGAUUUAGUUAGGUGAUUAUGAUUUUGACGAGCUAGUAAAAGAUGGCCGGUGGAUUAUAUGAAUCUAGGUUUAGUAGAUGAGCAUGUUGAUUAUUAUAUUGGUGGAUAGAGAUGAGAGCCACACAAGUGACUCAAGUCGAUGAUGCCACUAGUGAAAAUAGCUGAUAAACAAGGCAAGAGAGGUGGAGAGGCUGGGGAUAAUGGCAGUAGAUGGACUUUAUCCAGCAUCCCACGUUCCCGUGCAUUCUUUGUUCCCCGUUUAUCCAGCUUGAUGUCCUUGUCCUAUUUGCGGUUUCGUGCCACACACUUGAUUAAGCAUCCCACGUUCUCCUACUAAGUGCCCUUGGCCUUGACGGUAGGUAUCGCGUGUUCUUGGGCGCGUCCCGUGUAUAAAAUUCAGGUAUGCGCCAAUUGUCCUAGCUCUUGCUCGCCAUUGGUGGUGCUUGAGCGUGCGGUUACGGUGUCGACCAACUAGGGAACACGGGAUGUGGGAUCAAGACAGCACACAUGGCAACCCGCCACCAGGCAACGAAUACACAUCCGGAUUUACAAGGAGCGGAGGUGGACACAAAAGUGGAUGUUUAGCUCCAUAGGAGUCUCAACAGUGUGGUCAUCAGAGUAGCAUGAGUAAGAAGAUCCUAGAUAUACUUCUCUUAGGAAAUAAAGAUGCCAUUAGAGAUAGAAGAAACCUCAAUCUCCAAGAAAGUAGGAACUUGUUUAGUAAAAUGGAACAAUUUGGAUUUAGUUAGGCGAUUGUGAUCCUGAACAAAUUGCAUGGUGGAUUACGAGAUUUUUCAUUGGAUUUAGGUGAUUGUGAUCUUGAGGAAAUAGUCAAAAAUGUUUGGUGGAUUAGUUGAUCUUGAACAAUAUGGACUUAGUUAGGUGAUUGUAAUAUUGAACUAUUUUUUUGUGCGUUAUGAGAUUUUAGUUGGAUUUAGUUAGGUGAUUGUGCCUUGAGAUGAUAAUCAAAGGUGUUUGGUGGAUUCUGAGAUUUUAGGUCUAGUAGAUGAGCAUGAUGAUUAUUAUAUUGGUGGAUAAACUUAUAUUUAACUUUGUUUGAAACUUAUAUUGGUGGAUUAUGAGAUUUUUGAUGGAUUUGAUGGCGAUUUUGAGGAGAUAUUCUAAAGAUGUUUGGUGGAUUAAUUAAUCUUGGACAUUUUGAAUUUACUUAGGUGGUCGUGAUACUAAACCGAAUUUCACGCUGGAUUAUGAGAUUUUUCAUGGAUUUAGUUAGAUGAUUGUGUCUUGAGAAUAUAAUCAAAGAUGUUUGCUUGACUAUGAGAUUUUAGGUAUAGAAGAUGAGAAUGGUGAUUUUAUAUUGGUGGAUAACCAGAUCUUUAAUUUAGUUUGGAACAAUUUUGAUUUAGUAAGGUUAUUCUUUUUUUUUCAACCAAAUUCAUGAUGGGAUUUUGAGGUUUUGUUGGAUUUAGGUAGAUGACUGUGAUCUUAAAGAGAUAGUCACAGAUGAUUUGAUGGAAUAUGCUAAAUUAGGUCUAGUAAGGGACCACGGUGGUUAAUAUAUUGGUGGAUAAAUGGAUCUUUAGUAAACAUCGAGCAAUCUGUAUGUAGUUAGGCAAUUGUUAUCUUGAACAAAUUUCGUUGUGGAUUACGAGAUUUUCAAUGGAUUUAGUUAGUAGAUUGUGAUCUUGGGGAGAUGUCAAAGAUGUUCAGUGGAUUAACUACUUUUGAACAAUUUGGAUUUACUUAGGUGAUCGAGACAUUGAGCCAAAUUUCUCAAUGAUUUAUGAGAAUUUAGUUGGAUUUAGCUAGGUGGUUGUGUCUUCAGAAGAUAGUCGAGGAAGUUUGCUAGAUUAUGAGAUUUUUGGUUUACAAGAUAAGCAUGAGGAUAGUUAUAUUGGUGGAUAAACAAAUAUUUAAUUUAUUUAGGAAAAAAUGGAUUUAGUUAGGUGAUUGUCAUAUUUUGACCUAAUUUUAUGAUGGAUUAUGAGAUUUUUGGUCUACAAGAUAAGCAUGAGGAUUAUUAUAUUGGUGGAUAAACAAAUAUUUAAGUUAAUUAGGAAAAAAAUGGAUUUAGUUAGGUGAUUGUCAUAUUUUGACCUAAUUUUAUGAUGGAUUAUGAGGUUUUGCAUGGAUUUAGUUGGGUGAUUGGGAUCUUGACGAGCUUGUAAAAGCUAUUGACACCCUCCUUUGACAUUCUUAAUAGCCCUCCUUCCUAACCAUGUAGUAGUCGCAAAUAAAUGUGGUUCAUAUGUUCAAGUUUAAUAGUAAUGCUUAGCCAUGCUAGUCAUGUAAAUCAUAGGACUUGGGAAGAAUCUUUGUUACUCAUAGAUGUUUUAUAAAAACUCAAGAGUGUCACUAAUGCCCAUGGGAUUAUUCUGAAAAUAAGGUUUUACAAAAUGGAGAUGACGUGGAGAUUUAGUUAGGUGAUUGUGAUCUUGACGAGAUGGUCAAAGAUGUUCGGUGGAUUAUGAAAAUUUAUGUCUAGUAAAUGAGCAUGGUGGUUACUAUAUUGGUGGAUAAAUGGAUCUUUAAUAAACUUGAAGCAAUUUGGAUUUAGUUAGGCAAUUGUGAUCUUGGACCCAAUUUCAUGGUGGAUUUCGAGAUUUUGAUGCAUUUAUUUAGUUCACUAUGAUCUUGAGGAGACGGUAAAAAAUGUUUAGUGGAUUAAUUCUUGGAAAAUUUGGAUUUAGUUAGGUGAUUGUGAUAUUGAACUGUAUUUCAUGAUGAAUUAUAAGAUUUUAGGUGGAUUUAGUUACGUGAUUUAAUCUUGAGAAGAUAGUCUAAAAUGUUCGGUGGUUAUGAGAGUUUAGGUAUGAUAAAUGAGCAUGGUGAUUAUUAUAUUGAUGGAUAAAUAUAUCUUUAAUUUUGUUUGAAACAUUUUGGAUUUAGUUAGGUGAUUGCAAUCUUAAAUCAAAUUUCACGAUGGAUUAUAAGAUUUUAGUUGGAUAUAGUUAGGUGAUUGUGACUUGACGAGUCAGUAUAAGGUGUUUGGUGGAUUAUGUGAAUUUAAGUCUAGUAGGUUAGCUUGGUGGUUAUCAUAUUGGUGAAUAAGCAUUUUUUCAAUAAAAUUAAGAAAAAAUGGAUUUAGGUAGGCGAUUGUGAUCUUGAACCAAAUUUCAUGAUGGACUAUGAGAUUUUAGAUGAAUAUAGUCAGUUGAUUAAUCCAGAUACUACGUACUACUCACUAGCUUGUCCCGGGAAAAGAAAUGCUGCUUAAAUUGAUUGUUUUUGAAAAUCCCAUAAAUUGACAGUUAAAGUCCACUAAAAUGCCUUAAGAUAUUCAUUUUAACAUGUUCUGGGUAUCCCUCGUAGAUUCCAUGUUGAUUAAAUUUACCCAUUCUCUACAUACAAUUGGCAAUUCCUUAUUCACAUCUUUGUUAUACAAGCUCAUCAUGUUCUUGGAAGGGAAUUUGUUUUCAUUUUAGGUGCAUAACAUUUUGCAUGUUUGAUGGAUGUUUACUCCUUUUGUAUAAUAUGGUUACCUGAAUCUCCCAUACUAGACUACCAAUGGUGUAGAUUUUUUAUAUUGAGGUUUAGAAAAUUAACUUUGGUUAGCUACCUUAUGGAGGGUUGUUUUUGGAGGAAAAGAAGACAAAGAUCGACGGAUCACCGUAUACAGCCUGCUAGUAAGCACAGCUGGGACAAACCUGAUGAUGAACAUCACUAUUUUCCUGAGAAGAUGUGCUUGUCCAGGAUCCAGCAUGUUGAACCGAAAAAAGAUGGUACUAUAAUUGGCCAGUGACUAAGUUGUACCAUUCCUUGAACAAACUUAUAUUCGCUCGCGAUAAGACGUCUAUGGCUCAUCUACAAGAUGGGAACAAAAGGAACAGCUUCAGCAUAGUAUGCUAUCUUAACUGCCACUGUACCUAUCAACCAGAUGAACUAGUUUGAAGAAUGCAGUCCACUGAAAAAAUUAAGCCUCUGUAAUAUAGGGAGUCUCAGUGAUGAACCUUUGUGUGUUCUCGAUUUUUAUUUUGAGAGUGUUGCUUAUUUGAAAUGACAGUGGGGUUCUUGCUCCUCCCCAAUGCCAAACUCCUCAUGUAACUAUAUGCUACUCUUUGUAACUGCUUGAUGCUGUGAUAAUAUAUGUUCAGGCCGGCGUAAACC